UACGUAGGGAGCAAGCGUUGUUCGGAUUUACUGGGCGUAAAGGGCGCGUAGGCGGCGCGGUAAGUCACUUGUGAAAUCUCUGAGCUUAACUCAGAACGGCCAAGUGAUACUGCAGUGCUAGAGUGCAGAAUGGGCAAUCGGAAUUCUUGGUGUAGCGGUGAAAUGCGUAGAUAUCAAGAGGAACACCUGAGGCGAAGGCGGGUUGCUAGGCUGACACUGACGCUGAGUGCGCGAAAGCCAGGGGAGCAAACGGG
rnacentral:rRNA from 1 species